UUUGAAACAAAAACCUAGCACUCCCCUUUUCUCUCCUGCGCCGUUCAUCGCCUCAGAACAGGGGCUUUCCGAAUCCCAUGCUCGACUCCGAUUAUGACGGAGAGAGCACAAGGCCGGUCCCAGGUGCGUUCUGACUCCUCUUUUUCUUUUAUUUGCUUUCUUUUACAAACAAAUAAUAGCACAACGUGAACGUUUUUGGAAUAGAACAGAAAAAAUCGAAAAGAAAAAAAAACUUUCAGAUCACCUUUUUCUUUGAAACUUUUUGUUUUUUUGUAUUUCCACCGGUUUUUUGAUAUAGAAUGCGUAAAAAAGAAGGGGAUCCCCUUACAAUAUUAGAAUCGGCCUCAUAUAGCCGAAAUAAAAAAGAAAAAUAAAACAAAAAUCUCCAUUUUUUUCAUAUUUUCGUCCUUUUUUUGCUGUUAUUCUUUGCUAUUCUCGUGUCUUCUCUGUUGUUGCUGCGUUUUUUGUCCGUCUUUGUUUGUUUUCUGUGCAGGUACAGGUACGGAGACGUGGCGCGGUGCAACGCGUGAAGGCGUGGUCCCUGGUGGCGGCGUGGCUCGGCUCGGAGGCGUGGCUUUGGCGCGGAGGCACUACAUGCGCGCGGGCAUAACACGUGCGAGGGGGAAGGCUGGCUCUGUUGCGGCGCUGGAGGCUCACCCUAGCUGCUAGGGUUUCGCUUAUAGCUUUGGGCUUAGGUGAUUUGGGCCAUUGGGUUUAGUGGGUCAGGCUGGUAUUGGGUUAACAGUUUAGGCUUGGGACUUUGGAUUUUGUAAUCGGGUUUGGGCUUAAUCUACUUGGUUUGUAAUUUGAACUGUUAAUAAUUUAAUUUUUUAUAUUAUUAUUUUUUUAUUUGGCUUAUUUUGUUGGUUUAUGGGCCGGGCAAAAAUGGGUUCUUACAUUACCAAUAGCUGGGUGACUACAAAGGUAGCUUAUCCAUUCAAAAAUUGAAUUUAAUUAAUUAUUUGAAAAAAAUUUUCAUUUAACUCAAAUUUGAAUUAACAUUAUUUGAUUUAGGGUUAAUAUAUACAGAGGCACUUGAACUUGACA
rnacentral:lncRNA from 1 species